UACGGCCGCAAGGCUAAAACUCAAAGGAAUUGACGGGGGCCCGCACAAGCGGCGGAGCAUGCGGAUUAAUUCGAUGCAACGCGAAGAACCUUACCAAGGCUUGACAUGAACCGGAAAGACCUGGAAACAGGUGCCCCGCUUGCGGUCGGUUUACAGGUGGUGCAUGGUUGUCGUCAGCUCGUGUCGUGAGAUGUUGGGUUAAGUCCCGCAACGAGCGCAACCCUCGUUCUAUGUUGCCAGCGCGUUAUGGCGGGGACUCAUAGGAGACUGCCGGGGUCAACUCGGAGGAAGGUGGGGACGACGUCAAAUCAUCAUGCCCCUUAUGUCUUGGGCUUCACGCAUGCUACAAUGGCCGGUACAAAGGGUUGCGAUACUGUGAGGUGGAGCUAAUCCCAAAAAGCCGGUCUCAGUUCGGAUUGGGGUCUGCAACUCGACCCCAUGAAGUCGGAGUCGCUAGUAAUCGCAGAUCAGCAACGCUGCGGUGAAUACGUUCCCGGGCCUUGUACACACCGCCCGUCAAGUCACGAAAGUUGGUAACACCCGAAGCCGGUGGCCUAACCCUUGUGGGGGGAGCCGUCGAAGGUGGGACCGGCGAUUGGGACUAAGUCGUAACAAGGUAGCCGUACCGGAAGGUGCGGCUGGAUCACCUCCUU
rnacentral:rRNA from 1 species